rnacentral:ncRNA from 1 species
UCUUAUUCAGAGAUGGUGGAGGGACAGUCCCAAUGAAGCCCAGCAACCUCACAUCAUGUGAAAGGUGCUAACUUGAAGCGAGGAAAUUCCUUGAACAAUAAGA